UUAGAGUUGAUCCUGGCUCAGGGUGAAUGCUAGCGGCGCGCUUAAUGCAUGCAAGUCGAGCGAUGAGGUCUCCUUCGGGGGACACAUCAGCGGCAGACGGGUGAGUAACACGUAGGUAACCUACCCCAGAGACAGGGAUAACCCUAGGAAACGAGGGCUAAUACCGGAUGACCUCCGGAAGGAGGAAAGGCUCAGGCGCUCUGGGAGGGGCUUGCGGCCCAUCAGCUAGUUGGUAGGGUAAAGGCCUACCAAGGCGAAGACGGGUAGGGGGUGUGAGAGCACGGCCCCCCACAAUGGGACUGAAACACGGCCCAUACUCCUACGGGAGGCAGCAGCAGGGAAUAUUGCACAAUAGGCGAAAGCCUGAUGCAGCGACGCCGCGUGAGUGAAGAAGGCCUUCGGGUCGUAAAGCUCUUUUGUAGGGGAAGAGGAAGGACGGUACCCUAAGAAGAAGCGUCGGCUAACUACGUGCCAGCAGCCGCGGUAAGACGUAGGACUCGAGCGUUAUCCGGAAUUACUGGGCGUAAAGGGCCAGCAGGCGGCUUGGUAAGUUGUGCGUGAAAGCCUCGUGCUCAACGCGAGGAAGCCGGACAAUACUGUCAAGCUAGAGGGCAUCAGAGGGGAGUGGAAUUCCCGGAGUAGCGGUAAAAUGCGCAGAUAUCGGGAGGAACACCGAUGGCGAAGGCAGCUCCCUGGGAUGCACCUGACGCUAAGAGGCGAAAGCCUAGGGGAGCGAACAGGAUUAGAGACCCUGGUAGUCCUAGCUGUAAACGCUGGGUG
rnacentral:rRNA from 1 species